GAAUAUUUUGUGAUUAAUAAUAAUCACAGUUUACUGCAGAAUACAUCAUCUCACAACAAAUAUGUACCAGUAAAAGUAACCAAAAUAAAUGGUGGUCAAUCAACUUAACCUAUACUUAUCAACAAAAAUAACCACCAAUCAUGGAACAAUAAAUCAUUCCAAUCUAAUAUUUAAAGGAAGACACGACAGCAAAGGUUUUCGUCACUUUGAACACAUCUUCAUCCCAUCAAGCAGAGGACAAAUCCAAUCCAAACGGACCUGAACAAUCCAAAUCUAUGAUGAGAGGACAGGGCACUCCCACAGGAUGGUCUUGAGUCAAGAGAGCGGCCAAUCUCGCCCGACGCUGGACUUCUAAAUACAACGCAUCCUCCUGCGAGAUGUGAGCAGUUAUCUCGAGGAGCGGAUUAAGGUAGGUAGUGGUGAUGCCCAUGAUCAGAAGGCUGGCGCACACAUGUCUCUCUUGUAUCUGGGGGUGGCAUGUCAAACCAGUACUUGGUCAUUCGGCUAAUCCACCCAGCAUUGCUAGAAACGCCGGAUGUACAAAAGUAGUGAGUAAUUUUAUGAACUAUCGCAUGUAUCCGGGUCGCGAUUCAAUUAAUAUCAGUUCAAAUCUAUAAAUAGUCAUUCUUUCAAGUUUAACGCGAAAACUUAGUUCAUCCGCGAAUCAUAAUAUUUCAACGUAAUUAAUAUUAUCGUCUUAAUCGGAAGACUGUUUGAAAAUCCGAAAUAAAAAAAGCCGCGAUUUGCUUUUAUUUAAUUUGAAUUUGAACUGAUUGUAGUAUUACCUUAUUACCGUAUUACCGCGAACAUUGCACCGCGUUUUUAAGUUUCAAUUAAGUGUUAUCGCGAACACUUAAAUAUUACGUUCGAGUAAAAUCAACCGGUCAACACACACACACACACACACACACUAUAAACACUCACAGUACACUUUUGCUCGGUUCGUUUCGGCGAAUGCAGAGUUCUUGGGUAUUUGGUGUGUCUAGGCACACCUAUUACCUUACAUUCUCAACACAACACUUACACGUUCUGUUCACACAGAACAACACAAAUUAACACAAUUUAAUUCAAUGCAUCGCGCGCGGCAUUUAGAAGCAGAGAUUUGCAAUCUGCUUGCAAUAU